rnacentral:rRNA from 1 species
GACGAACGCUGGCGGCGUGCUUAACACAUGCAAGUCGAACGAAGUGGCGAACGGGUGAGUAACGCGUAAUCAACCUGCCCUUCCGAGGUGGACAACAGUUGGAAACGACUGCUAAUACCGCAUACUGAAUGAUGGGAUUGCGUCUGCUUAGCUAGUUGGAGGGGGAACGGCGCACCAAGGCGAUGAUCAGUCGCCGGUCUGAGAGGAUGAGCGGCCACAUUGGGACUGAGAAACGGCCCAGACGCCGACGGGAGGCAGCAGUGGGGAAUCUUCCGAAAUGGACGAAAGACUGACGGAGCAACGCCGCGUGAGUGAUGACGGCCUUCGGGUUGUAAAGCUCUGUUAAUCGGGACGCGGUACCGGAAUAGAAAGCAACGGCUAACUACGUGCCAGCAGCCGCGGUAAUAC